ensembl:snRNA U6 U6 spliceosomal RNA
GUUCUCGCUUUGGCAGCAUAUAUACUAAAAUUGGAAUGAUACAGAGAAGAUAGCAUGGCCCCUGAACAAGGAUGAUAUGCAAAUUCACGAAGCAUUUCAUAGUUUU